rnacentral:rRNA from 1 species
UUGAACGCUGGCGGCAUGCCUAACACAUGCAAGUCGAACGGCAGCACAGCAGUAGCAAUACUGUGGGUGGCGAGUGGCGGACGGGUGAGGAAUACGUCGGAAUCUGCCCAGUCGUGGGGGAUAACUAGCCGAAAGGUUAGCUAAUACCGCAUACGACCGAGAGGUGAAAGCGGGGACCGCAAGGCCUCACGCGAUUGGAUGAGCCGACGUCGGAUUAGCUAGUUGGCGGGGUAAAGGCCCACCAAGGCGACGAUCCGUAGCUGGUCUGAGAGGAUGAUCAGCCACACUGGAACUGAGACACGGUCCAGACUCCUACGGGAGGCAGCAGUGGGGAAUAUUGGACAAUGGGCGCAAGCCUGAUCCAGCAAUGCCGCGUGUGUGAAGAAGGCCUUCGGGUUGUAAAGCACUUUUAUCAGGAACGAAAAGCGUUGGAUUAAUACUCUGACGUGCUGACGGUACCUGAGGAAUAAGCACCGGCUAACUUCGUG